rnacentral:rRNA from 1 species
AGGGUUUGAUUAUGGCUCAGGACGAACGCUGGCGGCGUGCCUAACACAUGCAAGUCGAACGGAGUUAUUUAAAUAGAACCCUUCGGGGUGACGUUUUAAUAACUUAGUGGCGGACGGGUGAGUAACGCGUGAGUAACCUGCCUUUCAGAGGGGGAUAACGUCCUGAAAAGGACGCUAAUACCGCAUGAUAUAUUUGUGCCGCAUGGUAUGGAUAUCAAAGGAGCAAUCCGCUGGAAGAUGGACUCGCGUCCGAUUAGCUAGUUGGAGGGGUAACGGCCCACCAAGGCGACGAUCGGUAGCCGGACUGAGAGGUUGAACGGCCACAUUGGGACUGAGACACGGCCCAG